GGCAGUGUAGCAUAGUGGUAAUGAGCAGGGCUUGUAACCAAAAGGCUUUUGGUUCGAUUCCCCACAGGGGCA